UUUUUGCGUCAGGGAUUGAAAUGGAAAUCCUUUUCCGCAGGGAAUAGAUUGAAAUGAAAAGCCCGCCCGUAG
rnacentral:sRNA from 1 species